UAAUACGGAGGGUGCGAGCGUUGUCCGGAAUCACUGGGCGUAAAGGGCGCGUAGGCGGUCUGCUAAGCGUGCGGUGAAAGCCUGGGGCUCAACCCCAGGUCUGCCGUGCGAACUGGUGGACUAGAGCACUGUAGAGGCAGGUGGAAUUCCGGGUGUAGCGGUGGAAUGCGUAGAGAUCCGGAAGAACACCGGUGGCGAAGGCGGCCUGCUGGGCAGUUGCUGACGCUGAGGCGCGACAGCGUGGGGAGCAAACAGGAUUAGAUACCCUGGUAGUCCACGCCGUAA
rnacentral:rRNA from 1 species